rnacentral:rRNA from 1 species
AUGAACGCUGGCGGCGUGCUUAACACCUGCAAGUCGAACGGAAAGGCCCAAGCUUGCUUGGGUACUCGAGUGGCGAACGGGUGAGUAACACGUGGGUGAUCUGCCCUGCACUUCGGGAUAAGCCUGGGAAACUGGGUCUAAUACCGGAUAGGACCACUUCUUGGAUGUUGUGGUGGAAAGUUUUUCGGUGUGGGAUGAGCUCGCGGCCUAUCAGCUUGUUGGUGGGGUAAUGGCCUACCAAGGCGUCGACGGGUAGCCGGCCUGAGAGGGUGUACGGCCACAUUGGGACUGAGAUACGGCCCAGACUCCUACGGGAGGCAGCAGAGGGGAAUAUUGCACAAUGGGCGCAAGCCUGAUGCAGCGACGCCGCGGGGGGGAUGACGGCCUUCGGGUUGUAAACUCCUUUCGCUAGGGACGAAGCUUAUUUUGUGACGGUACCUGGAGAAGAAGCACCGGCUAACUACGUG